rnacentral:rRNA from 1 species
AAUCAACGCUGGCGGCGUGCCUAACACAUGCAAGUCGAACGCGGUUAGCCCGCAAGGGUUUAACUGAGUGGCGAACGGGUGAGUAACACGUGGGUGACCUACCUUCGAAUGGGGGAUAACGUCCCGAAAGGGACGCUAAUACCGCAUAACAUCCUGCUUUUGAACAGGUGGAGAUCAAAGCUGGGGAUCGCAAGACCUGGCGUUUGAAGAGGGGCCCGCGUCUGAUUAGCUAGUUGGNGAGGCAACGGCUCACCAAGGCGACGAUCAGUAUCCGGCCUGAGAGGGCGGACGGACACACUGGGACUGAGACACGGCCCAGACUCCUACGGGAGGCAGCAGUGGGGAAUUGUUCGCAAUGGGCGCAAGCCUGACGACGCAACCGCCGCGUGGAGGAUGAAGGUCUUCGGAUUGUAAACUCCUGUUGCCCGGGACGAAAGCUUCAACCUAAUACGUUGAAGUCUGACGGUA